UCCGCGAAACCAAAUAAAUAGAACAAAGAAACAACGUUGUUUGUUUCACAAUCUCUCAAUCUUUCUCUUCUGGUUUCUGAAUCUCAUUAAUCUUUGUCUGUGUUAUCAUUUGGUUUCUCAAUCUUGUGAUGGGUUCGGCAGAUUUUACCUCACCCCCACCUGCACCGAAACCAAAUAAGAAAAGGAACAUACAGUUUUUAGAUGAUGACACGAUCACACACUCACCUCCUAUCGAGCUUGUUGAGAGACGCUUGCAAUUCACUGAUGAUGAUCAUACUCCCUCGCCAAUCAGAAGACGCUUACAGUUAAUCGAUGAAAUUAUUGAGCUUGGUGAGAUGCGAUUAGAACUGUUUCGUCUCAUUAACAACACCCAAGAAGCCAUGGAUGCUGAGAGAAAGAGGAAAGUCGCAAUCUUGAUGUCAUAUAGAUAACUUGAUUAUGCAUUUCUGUAUUCUUCUUGAUCAUCUGUUAGGUAAGAUUAGGUAUGUUCUUUUAUUUUGAAUUCAUCUCUUAGGUACCACACCAUUGCUUUAGGUAUGUUCUUUUAUUUUGAAUUCAUCUCUUAGGUACCACACCAUUGCUAUCCGUCUUGUCUUCAGGUACCUCCUCACCCAUUACAGAAUGCUACUUUCCAAAUACAGUAUGUGGUUGACUUCUGCAGUUUGUUUUGAGCUGUUUCUGGAACUUUAUUUUUUAUAUACUGGUAAGGGUGUUUUCAUUUUGAUAUGUAAUUGUGGAGUCCCGGCCCCAAACUGUAUUAUAUUUUUGCUUGAGGAACAUGGCUAGUCCUACAAGAAGAUUUGAUGAUUUCCUCACUUUACUGUGACACUGCACCACUAUACUAAGCUGCUUCGGGGGAUAAGGGUGCUUGAUCAAGCUCACAUUUACCUAUUGCUAUCUCUAUUUGUUCUUGUAUAGGAAAAUCUUGUUCUUAAGGCUAACCUUUUCAAUCAACUUCCAUGUACUACUAAUGGAUAGCCGAUUGAUCAUGUUCUAUCAUGUGUCAAAUUUGUAUACUGUAAAUUUCUGUCUAAUUAAUUCUAUGAAAAUUUCUCUCUCUUUCAACACCUGGUUUAGUUUAUACAGCUACAAGUUUGUUUAUAUAACGAAAAGGCCUACUCUGCCCUCCAGUCAAAUGUUAUGUCAUGCUCGCUUCAUCAUUUGUGACCACCGGACUUGUUUCACAUAAUUUGAUUAAUUCUCAUAUCCAACAUUAUUUGCUUGGCCUCAAUGAUAGGAGGAUCCUUGCUUGAAACCUCAAUUUUCAUAAGACCAAUCUCAUUUUAUGUUUGCUAAACUAAUAGUUUAUAGUUUGGUGGUAGAUUUUGACUUGUUUUUGUAAGAGUUUGCGUGUUAGUAUUAACUCGUGCAAGAAGCAUCUAGAGUGAUCAUGACAUGAUUGACUUAUUUUUUUGUUUCAUUGUUUCUUUUGGUCAUAUUAGAUAGGGAGAGCCAGAAGUUGAGGUUACAAAUGAAGGUGUUGACGCUGCUGGGCAUUCAAUUGGUACAUCUUCGGAGGCUAAAGCUUCUGCCCAAACAAACUGAAGGCUAAGAGAUAAGUAGUCAAACUAACUAGAGAAUGACCAUCUGCUUACACACACACACUAGUUGUUGUACUAGUUUAUCAGAUAAUUCAUUUUUUUUUUCUAAUUGAUCUUUCAGACAAUAUCUUACUUGAAUUAGCCUUUAGAAGACAUAUAGCCUAGUUAUUCUUGCCUAGACUAGACUAACCUAAAUGAGAAAAUAAUGUUGGAGAAAGUUAAGAUAACAUGAAUAAAUGAUGUUUUAGGUAAAUAAUGAAACCAAAAUUAAUCAAAUAAGUAAGGGUAUAUUUUGUAAAAUAAUAUUAAUGGACACUUUUUUUCUCAUCAAAAUGGUUUAUACUUAAGGACAGAAGCAUUAUGAACAUGCUGAUCUCAAUAUUUUGUAUUUGCAUGGCCUCAAUGAUAGGAGGACCUUUGCUUGAAACCUCAAUUUCUAUACGACCAAUCUUAUCUUAUGUUUGCUAAACUAAUAGUUAAUAGUUUGGUGUUAGAUUUUGACUUGUUUUUGUACUAGUUUGUUGACCUCAUAUCUGUGAUUGUGCAGUGUGUUUCCUCCAUACUUAUAGCAACAAUUAUUAGCAUAUUUGUCAACUGGAGAGUGGGUUUGGUGGCAUUGGCUGGGAUGCUCUGCUACUUCAUAGGUGGUCUCAUUCAAGCCAAGUCUGCCAAAGGAUUUUCAGGCGCUAUCUGCUAUAGCAUCAUUCAGACCUUGUCGCUUUUGCAUCUGAGUCGACAAACAACAUAAGGACUAUAUCAUCAUUUUGUCAUUGUUCUUGACAAUUUCAGUUUACGUGAAAUUGAAUCAGAUAUAUUGGACGACUCACUAUCCAAGAAGAUUGAAGGAACUGUCAAAUUUGAAACGGUAAAUUUCAAGUACCUUCUUCUUGGGCUGCUCGUGCUACUCAGGAUUGUAUUCAAUCUCAAAAGGACAAUUAUCACAAAUUCAAUAAUACUGCUCAAGGUCGCAUUAGAAUCUGGUUUGGAAUCAGACAAAUCA